AGUGAACGCUGGCGGUAGGCCUAACACAUGCAAGUCGACCGGCAGCCCCGUAAUUGCUUGCUCUUUCGGGUGGCGAGUGGCUGACGGGUGAGGUAUUCAUCGGAAUCUACUUUUUCGUGGGGGUUAACGUAGGGAAACUUACGCUAAUACCGCUUUCGACCUACGGGUUAAAGCAUGGGAUCUUCGGACCUUUCGCGUUUGACUGAGCCGAUGUCGGAUUAGCUAGUUGGCGGGGUAAAGGCCCACCAAGGCGACGAUCCGUAGAUGGUCUGAGAGGAUGAUCAGCCACACGGGAAGUGAGACACGGACAAGAGUACUACGGGAGGCAGCAGAGGGGAAUAGGGGACAAUGGGGGCAAGCAUGAUACAGCAAGACCGAGUGGGAGAAGAAGGCGUUCGGGUUGGAAAGACCGUUUGUGGGGAAAGAAAAGCAGCAGGUUAAGACCCAGCGGGACUGACGGUAACAAAAGAAGAAGCACCGGCUAACUUCGUG
rnacentral:rRNA from 1 species